UUAGGGGGUUUCCGCCCCUUAGUGCUGCAGCUAACGCAUUAAGCACUCCGCCUGGGGAGUACGACCGCAAGGUUGAAACUCAAAGGAAUUGACGGGGGCCCGCACAAGCGGUGGAGCAUGUGGUUUAAUUCGAAGCAACGCGAAGAACCUUACCAGGUCUUGACAUCCUUUGACCACUCUGGAGACAGAGCUUUCCCUUCGGGGACAAAGUGACAGGUGGUGCAUGGUUGUCGUCAGCUCGUGUCGUGAGAUGUUGGGUUAAGUCCCGCAACGAGCGCAACCCUUGAUUUUAGUUGCCAGCAUUUAGUUGGGCACUCUAAAGUGACUGCCGGUGCAAGCCGGAGGAAGGUGGGGAUG
rnacentral:rRNA from 1 species